CUGUGAGGCUCCGCUCUGGCUGCAGGUGGGGAGAACCGUCUGGGCUCUGCUGGAGUCGUGUUUCCGAGGGACUGAGGAGACCAUCAGGAACCGAAGAUGCCGAAACCAGUCGGUGUCCGAGUUACCACCAUGGAUGCAGGGCUGGAGUUUGCAAUCCAGCCAAAUACAACUGGAAAACAACUUUUUGAUCGGGUGGUUAAGACUAUCGGCCUCCGGGAAGUGUGGUACUUUGGCCUCCAGGAUGUGGAUAAUAAAGGAUUUCCUACCUGGCUGAAACUUGAUAAAAAGGUGUCUGCCCAGGAGGUCAGGAAGGAGAAUCUGCUCCAGUUCAAGUUCGGGGCCAAGUUCUAUUCCCUCCAAGCGAAGGAGGGAAUUCUCAGCCACGAGAUUUACUGUCCCCCUGAGACCGCAGUGCUGCUGGGGUCCUGUGCCGUGCAGGCCAAGUUUGGGGACUACAACGAAGAAGCGCACAAGGCUGGGUACCUCGGCUCUGAGCGGCUGAUCCCUCAAAGAGUUACGGACCAGCACAGACUGACCAGGGACCAGUGGGAGGACCGGAUCCAGGUGUGGCACGCAGAGCACCGUGGGAUGCUCAAAGACAGUGCUAUGUUGGAGUAUCUGAAGAUUGCUCAGGACCUGGAAAUGUAUGCAAUCAACUAUUUUGAGAUAAAAAAUAGGAAAGGAACAGACCUCUGGCUUGGAGUUGAUGCCCUUGGACUAAAUAUUUAUGAGAAAGAUGAUAAGUUGACCCCAAAGAUUGGCUUCCCUUGGGGUGAAAUCAGGAACAUGUCUUUCAAUGACAAAACGUUUGUCAUUAAGCCCAUCGACAAGAAGGCACCUGACUUCGUAUUCUAUGCGCCUCUCCUGAGAAUUAACAAGAGGAUCCUGCAGCUCUGCUUGGGGACCCAUGAGCUGGCAUGCGCCGCAGGAAGCCCGACGCCACGGAGGUGCAGCAGGUGAAGGCCCAGGCCCGGGAGGAGCAGCACCAGAAGCGGCUGGAGCGGCAACAGUUGGACACUGAGAAGAAAAGGAGGGAAACUGUUGAGAGAGAAAAAGAACAGAUGAUGCGUGAGAAGCAGGAGCUGAUGCUCAGGCUGCAGGGCUAUGAGGAGAAAACCAAGAAGGCGGAGAAAGAACUCUCGCAGCAGAUUCAGAGAGCCUUGCAGCUGGAGGAGGAGAGAAAAGGGGCCCAGGAGGAGGCUGAGCGCCCAGAGGCUGACCGUGUGGCCGCGCUGCGGGCCAAGGAGGGCCGGAGAGACAGGCAGUGGAUCAGAUACACAGCCAGGAGCAGCUGGCUGCGGAGCUUGCAGGGCACACUGCCAAGAUCGCCCUCCGGGAGGAGGCCAGGAGCACAGGGCCAAAGAAGCCCAGGAUGACCCGGCGAAGACUAAGGAGGAGCUGCACCUGGCGAUGACAGCUCCCCCGCCCCCGCCCAUGUACGAGCCGGCCGGUUACCACGUCCAGGAGGGCCUGCAGGAUGAGGGUCACAGCGCCCAGCUGUCCAGCGAGGGCAUCACUGAGGCCGAGAGGAACGAGCAUGUGCAGCGGCAGCUGCUGACGCUGAGCAGUGAGCUGUCCCAGGCCAGAGAUGAAAAUAAAAGGACCCACAGUGGCCUCAUCCACAACGAGAACAUGAGGCAAGGCUGGGACAAGUACCAGACUCUGCGGCAGAUCCGGCAGGGCAACACCAAGCAGCGGAUCGACGAGUUUGAGGCCAUGUAACGGCCAGGACCAAGAGCAGUGGGGCACUUCGCAGCACGCUGCUUCGAGGCCACUGCCAGCCUUGUCCCGCUUCUAUCUUUAGUACUGCAAAUCUAGGGGACCCCUUAUCGCCUCCCACUUCCUUUAAAA